GAUGAAACUUUAACAGAACCCUUCGGGGCGAAGAUAAAGUGGAUUAGCGGCGGACGGGUGAGUAACACGUGAGUAACCUGCCUUAGACAUUGGGAUAGCCUCGGGAAACCGGGAUUAAUACCAAAUAAAAUCAUAAUGACACAUGUCAUAACGAUCAAAACUCCGGUGGUCUAAGAUGGACUCGCGUCCCAUUAGCUAGUUGGUAGAGUAAAAGCCUACCAAGGCGACGAUGGGUAGCCGGCCUGAGAGGGUGAACGGCCACAUCGGAACUGAGAAACGGUCCAAACUUCUACGGGAGGCAGCAGUGGGGAAUAUUGCACAAUGGAGGGAACUCUGAUGCAGCGACGCCGCGUGAACGAAGAAGGCUUUCGAGUCGUAAAGUUCUUUUAUAUGGGAAGAUAAUGACGGUACCAUAAGAAAAAGCCCCGGCUAACUACGUGCCAGCAGCCGCGGUAAUACGUAGGGGGCUAGCGUUGUCCGGAAUCACUGGGCGUAAAGGGUUCGCAGGCGGAAAUGCAAGUCAGAUGUAAAAGGCAGUAGCUUAACUACUGUAAGCAUUUGAAACUGCAUAUCUUGAGAAGAGUAGAGGUAAGUGGAAUUUUUAGUGUAGCGGUGAAAUGCGUAGAUAUUAAAAAGAAUACCGGUGGCG
rnacentral:rRNA from 2 species